rnacentral:rRNA from 1 species
AGCAGCAGCCGCGGGAACACGAAGGGUGCAAGCGUUAAUCGGAAUUACUGGGCGUAAAGCGUGCGUAGGCGGUGAGUUAAGUCUGCUGUGAAAUCCCCGGGCUCAACCUGGGAAUGGCAGUGGAUACUGGCUCGCUAGAGUGUAUCAGAGGAUGGUGGAAUUCCCGGUGUAGCGGUGAAAUGCGUAGAGAUCGGGAGGAACAUCAGUGGCGAAGGCGGCCAUCUGGGGCAACACUGACGCUGAGGCACGAAAGCGUGGGGAGCAAACAGGAUUAGAUACCCCCGUAGUCCCUGUCUCUUAUAC